rnacentral:lncRNA from 1 species
UGAAAAUGAAGGUUGCCUGGGUGAUUCCUCUGUGUUUCUAUUUGUUUCCCACAUUGCACCUGAGGGAGUCUUGCCCAUCCAUUGUACUAUGAGCUGCCUGUACUUAGAGAAAAACUUUGGGUGAUGACAACUGUCACAGAAUCAGUAACAUGCCACAUAGUCUAAGUCCUUCCCAAUUGUCUCAGAUGUUCGGAGGUGUCAGAAGUGAGGAGACUCUGGAAAUGAGCUGCUGUGAGACCUCGAUGGGGGCCAUUUGGGCGUUCCGUGAAAACUUGAAGUCCAUGAUGCCUCCCAGGGUCUUCCUCUGGAUG